rnacentral:rRNA from 1 species
UGAAGUCGGAAUUGCUAGUAAUCGCAGAUCAGCAUGCUGUGGUGAAUACGUUCCCGGGCCUUGUACACACCGCCGUCACACCAUGGGAGUCGGUAACACCCAAAGUUGGUAGUCUAACCGCAAGGAGGACGCCGCCUAAGGUGGGAUUGAUGACUGGGGUGAAGUCGUAACAAGGUACC